rnacentral:rRNA from 1 species
UAGGGAAUCUUCCACAAUGGACGAAAGUCUGAUGGAGCAACGCCGCGUGAGUGAUGAAGGGUUUCGGCUCGUAAAACUCUGUUGUUGGAGAAGAACGGGUGUCAGAGUAACUGUUGACAUCGUGACGGUAUCCAACCAGAAAGCCACGGCUAACUACGUGCCAGCAGCCGCGGUAAUACGUAGGUGGCAAGCGUUGUCCGGAUUUAUUGGGCGUAAAGCGAGCGCAGGCGGUUUUUUAGGUCUGAUGUGAAAGCCUCG